GAAACGCGAUACGUGAUGCGAAUCGCGGGAACCAGCGAGCCAUCCAAUCUUCGAACGCACCUUGCGCUCCCGGUACCCCCGGGAGCACGCCUGUCCGAGUGUCAUUUCACCACUCAAGCCUCGCUUGGUAUUGGGCAACGCGGUCCGCCGCGUGCCUCAAAUCGACCGGCUGGGUCUUCUGUCCCCUAAGCGUUGUGGAAACUAUUCGCUAAAGGGUGCUCGGGAGGCUACGCCGUAAAACAAACCCAUUUCUAAGGUUGACCUCGGAUCAGGUAGGGAUACCCGCUGAACUUAAGC
rnacentral:misc_RNA from 1 species